rnacentral:rRNA from 1 species
AUUGAACGCUGGCGGCAGGCCUAACACAUGCAAGUCGAACGGUAACAGGAAGAAGCUUGCUUCUUUGCUGACGAGUGGCGGACGGGUGAGUAAUGUCUGGGAAACUGCCUGAUGGAGGGGGAUAACUACUGGAAACGGUAGCUAAUACCGCAUCACGUCGCAAGACCAAAGAGGGGGACCUUCGGGCCUCUUGCCAUCGGAUGUGCCCAGAUGGGAUUAGCUAGUAGGUGGGGUAACGGCUCACCUAGGCGACGAUCCCUAGCUGGUCUGAGAGGAUGACGAGCCACACUGGAACUGAGACACGGUCCAGACUCCUACGGGAGGCAGCAGUGGGGAAUAUUGCACAAUGGGCGCAAGCCUGAUGCAGCCAUGCCGCGUGUAUGAAGAAGGCCUGCGGGUUGUAAAGUACUUUCAGCGGGGAGGAAGGGAGUAAAGUUAAUACCUUUGCUCAUUGACGUUACCCGCAGAAGAAGCACCGGCUAACUCCGUG